rnacentral:lncRNA from 1 species
UAGAGGAAUGGGACCCCUCCUCGAAAUCGCCGACCUCAAAGCCCUCAGAGAAGGGAUCGACGAACCUCACCACUAAGGAGAUUUACAAACUAUACUCCGUUGAAUGCAUCGAGGACUUAGGUGCUAGUGGAAAUAAAGGGACAACUCCCAGAGCUGAGGAAGCUUCGGAUAUUUUCAAAUAGAAAGAACCCAUAUAAGUACUAUUUGUAUCACCGUGACUACGGUCAUGAUAUAGAGGAGUGCAUCCAGCUCCAG